AUCCCUUCCAGGAGGGGUGACCUUAGGCCAGUGACUUACCUUCUUCAAGUACCAUUUCCUUGACUGUAAGAGCAGAGAAUCAUGGACUCACCAUAUAGAGGCUGAGAGAGUCGGAUGAGCGAACGCCCGCGCAGGACUUAGAAGAGGGCCAGGUGCACUCUGGAUACUCUGCCACCUGGACCCAUGGGCUGGGGGAGGAGUGGGGCAGGUUGCCACCCCAGAAGGGACAUCUGCAUCCCAGAGCAGGGCCCCCUUUGGGAGCAUCUCCAAAUUCCUCUGUGGUCUGGGGUAGCCACAGCUCUUCUAUCCUUCACUGUCUUCUUGGCCCAGGAGAGGGGAAGCCAUGGCAAGCCUGGGCCAGGAUAAUGAGAACAUUCAGUGCCCUGCACCUGCACUUCUUAAACGACCACACACAUGAAUCACCUGGGGAUCUUGUCAACGUGCAGGUGCUGAUUCACGAGGCCUGGAGUGGGCCUGUGAGUCUGCAUUUCUAACAAGGUCUCUGGGGAUGCUUGUGCUGCCGGGCCAGGUGCUCUGAGGAACAGGACCCCAUGUUCCUCUGCAGGAAGAACAAAUAAAUGACACCUGCGGUGGCCAAAGCUUUUAAGCUCACCAAGGGCAGGGCCCAGCACGCCGCUUGUACUGGGAGCUCCCUGGGGGUAGAGGCUCACACCUGCUGUUUCCCACAGACAACCCACAGUGCCCAAGCCAAGGCUCUGCACCCAGGGCUGCCUGAAUUUUGAAAAGGGCAGGAGAGAAAGCUGACAGUUAUUGAGCCCCUGCUCUGUGCCAGGCACUAUGCUACAACCUUCAAUACUGCAGUCUCAAAGCAACUCCCAUCCCCAUUCUAGCGAUGAAGACACAGAGGCUCUGUGAGCACGGCUGUUUGCCCAAGGACAUGGGCUGCUACUAGGUGUCAGAGGCACCCUUGACCCCAUGCCUGUCAGUUCCCUAAACCCUGCCUUUCCCACUGAAGCAGGGCACAGAGCAGCCCCCUCCCCGCAAUGUCCUCUCUCCAUUCCCCUCGCGCUGCCUCCCUGGGGCUGGCUGGGACCGAAGACGCUGAUGCAGGGAAAGGUGUGUUUAUCUCAUUAUCUUUCUGGAGCAUCCUCUCCUGGUUGACCCCAAACCCUUUACCAACAUUAGUUGCAACAACAAAGAUGUCUCACCACCUCUCCAAGAUGCCCAGAGCACAUGACACUGAAGCUUCCUUUGGAAAUGUAUUUCAAGGCACGAGUUGCCCCAGGGGGGCUCUGUUUAAAGGCCAGCCAGGCAACUGGAGUCCAGGAAGCAGCCAUCCAUCCCCAGCAUCCUCCUUGCUCCAGAUAUCAAUGGAAAGAAAUGAAAAACAGUAGUAGUAGCAGCACUCGUUGCUAAUAUUUGCUGAGUGUUUGCUAACGGUGAGACACAAUAGAUGCAUUAUCUCUUUUAUAAUUCUCAAAAUAAGCCUCACAAACUCUUUUUAUUCCUACCUUCAGAUAAAGGGCCUGGGGAUCAAGCAGGUUAGGUGAUUUGUUUGAUGAUACACAGCUAAUAUGACCCUGAGCUGGGCUUUGAGCCCCAGCAUACUGGCUUCAGGGCCCACAUAUUUCAGUAUUCUAUCAUGCUUCAUGGAAAUAUUAAUACCUGCGGGUGACAGAGGCCUAUGGAAAAUCCUUGCUUAUGUCGAGAGCCACAGGAUCACAGAAUAGUGGGGCUAGAAAGAGGUUCUGCAGCACCUGGUCCCAUUCUCUCAUUUUAGAGGGGGAGCCUGAGGCCCAG
rnacentral:lncRNA from 10 species